rnacentral:rRNA from 1 species
AACGAACGCUGGCGGCAGGCCUAACACAUGCAAGUCGAGCGAGGACUUCGGUUCUAGCGGCGGACGGGUGAGUAACGCGUGGGAAUGUGCCCUUCUCUACGGAAUAGCCCUGGGAAACUGGGAGUAAUACCGUAUACGCCCUAUUGGGGAAAUAUUUAUCGGAGAAGGAUCAGCCCGCGUUGGAUUAGGUAGUUGGUGGGGUAAUGGCCUACCAAGCCGACGAUCCAUAGCUGGUUUGAGAGGAUGAUCAGCCACACUGGGACUGAGACACGGCCCAGACUCCUACGGGAGGCAGCAGUGGGGAAUCUUAGACAAUGGGGGCAACCCUGAUCUAGCCAUGCCGCGUGAGUGAUGAAGGCCUUAGGGUUGUAAAGCUCUUUCAGCUGGGAAGAUAAUGACGGUACCAGCAGAAGAAGCCCCGGCUAACUCCGUG